UAGGUCAAAAACUCAUUUUAUUUUUUGGUGUAGAUGGCCAAGGAAGUUGCACAGAACUUCCCCAACAUCCCCUCCCAAAUUCAUAAGGAACCUUCAAAAACAUAUGGAGCAACUGUGAAAAGAAAUGGCUGAGGAUAUACAAAAAAUGUCAGAGUUCAACAAAGCCAACAACUCCUUCAUGUGUGCCACUGAUAAAGAACCUGGAUGUGGCCCAAAGACUGACUGGGUUAGUAACUUUAUUUAACAUGCUUAAAAUCUUUUGACAACAGUGACAGCAUGUAAGGCAAUUUAUGAUAUAACACAAUGGAUGGCUAAUUC